rnacentral:piRNA from 1 species
UAAACCUACGCUAGCUUCUGCACUGAAGGCC